CAGUAGCCGCGGUAAUACGUAGGUGGCAAGCGUUGUCCGGAAUUAUUGGGCGUAAAGCGCGCGCAGGCGGCCUAUCCAGUCUGUCUUAAAAGUUCGGGGCUCAACCCCGUGAUGGGAUGGAAACUAGUAGGCUAGAGUAUCGGAGAGGAAAGCGGAAUUCCUAGUGUAGCGGUGAAAUGCGUAGAUAUUAGGAAGAACACCAGUGGCGAAGGCGGCUUUCUGGACGAAAACUGACGCUGAGGCGCGAAAGCUAGGGGAGCGAACGGGAUUAGAUACCCGCGUAGUCCCUGUCUCUUAUACA
rnacentral:rRNA from 1 species